rnacentral:misc_RNA from 1 species
GAUGAAGAACGUAGCGAAAUGCGAUAAGUAAUGUGAAUUGCAGAAUUCAGUGAAUCAUCGAAUCUUUGAACGCACAUUGCGCCUGCCAGUAUUCUGGCGGGCAUGCCUGUCUGAGCGUCAUUUCAACCCUCAGCCCCCGCUCGCGGGGCGCUGGCGUUGGGGAUCGGCCGUCCUCGCGGCGGCCGGCCCCGAAACACAGUGGCGGUCUCUCGCGGACUCCCCUGCGUAGUAGCACUACCUCGCAGAAGGGACGAGCGGGCUGACCACGCCGUAAAACCCCCCACUUCUCCAGGUUGACCUCAGAUCAGGUAGGAAUACCCGCUGAACUUAAGCAUAUCAAUAAGCGGAGGA